AGAGUUUGAUCAUGGCUCAGAUUGAACGCUGGCGGCAGGCCUAACACAUGCAAGUCGAGCGGUAGCACAGAGAGCUUGCUCUCGGGUGACGAGCGGCGGACGGGUGAGUAAUGUCUGGGAAACUGCCUGAUGGAGGGGGAUAACUACUGGAAACGGUAGCUAAUACCGCAUAACGUCGCAAGACCAAAGUGGGGGACCUUCGGGCCUCAUGCCAUCAGAUGUGCCCAGAUGGGAUUAGCUGGUAGGUGAGGUAACGGCUCACCUAGGCGACGAUCCCUAGCUGGUCUGAGAGGAUGACCAGCCACACUGGAACUGAGACACGGUCCAGACUCCUACGGGAGGCAGCAGUGGGGAAUAUUGCACAAUGGGCGCAAGCCUGAUGCAGCCAUGCCGCGUGUGUGAAGAAGGCCUUCGGGUUGUAAAGCACUUUCAGCGGGGAGGAAGGCGGUGAGGUUAAUAACCUCAUCGAUUGACGUUACCCGCAGAAGAAGCACCGGCUAACUCCGUGCCAGCAGCCGCGGUAAUACGGAGGGUGCAAGCGUUAAUCGGAAUUACUGGGCGUAAAGCGCACGCAGGCGGUCUGUCAAGUCGGAUGUGAAAUCCCCGGGCUCAACCUGGGAACUGCAUUCGAAACUGGCAGGCUAGAGUCUUGUAGAGGGGGGUAGAAUUCCAGGUGUAGCGGUGAAAUGCGUAGAGAUCUGGAGGAAUACCGGUGGCGAAGGCGGCCCCCUGGACAAAGACUGACGCUCAGGUGCGAAAGCGUGGGGAGCAAACAGGAUUAGAUACCCUGGUAGUCCACGCUGUAAACGAUGUCGAUUUGGAGGUUGUGCCCUUGAGGCGUGGCUUCCGGAGCUAACGCGUUAAAUCGACCGCCUGGGGAGUACGGCCGCAAGGUUAAAACUCAAAUGAAUUGACGGGGGCCCGCACAAGCGGUGGAGCAUGUGGUUUAAUUCGAUGCAACGCGAAGAACCUUACCUGGUCUUGACAUCCACAGAACUUUCCAGAGAUGGAUUGGUGCCUUCGGGAACUGUGAGACAGGUGCUGCAUGGCUGUCGUCAGCUCGUGUUGUGAAAUGUUGGGUUAAGUCCCGCAACGAGCGCAACCCUUAUCCUUUGUUGCCAGCGGUUAGGCCGGGAACUCAAAGGAGACUGCCAGUGAUAAACUGGAGGAAGGUGGGGAUGACGUCAAGUCAUCAUGGCCCUUACGACCAGGGCUACACACGUGCUACAAUGGCAUAUACAAAGAGAAGCGACCUCGCGAGAGCAAGCGGACCUCAUAAAGUAUGUCGUAGUCCGGAUUGGAGUCUGCAACUCGACUCCAUGAAGUCGGAAUCGCUAGUAAUCGUAGAUCAGAAUGCUACGGUGAAUACGUUCCCGGGCCUUGUACACACCGCCCGUCACACCAUGGGAGUGGGUUGCAAAAGAAGUAGGUAGCUUAACCUUCGGGAGGGCGCUUACCACUUUGUGAUUCAUGACUGGGGUGAAGUCGUAACAAGGUAACCGUAGGGGAACCUGCGGUUG
rnacentral:rRNA from 1 species